rnacentral:rRNA from 1 species
GCUCAGGACGAACGCUGGCGGCGUGCCUAAUACAUGCAAGUCGAGCGCAGGAAGCUCACGGAACUCUUCGGAGGGAAGUGAAGGGAAUGAGCGGCGGACGGGUGAGUAACACGUAAGGAACCUGCCCCAAGGAUUGGGAUAACUCCGAGAAAUCGGAGCUAAUACCGAAUAGUUCUUCAGACCGCAUGGUCUGAUGAUGAAAGGCGCUUCGGCGUCACCUUGGGAUGGCCUUGCGGUGCAUUAGCUAGUUGGUGGGGUAAUGGCCCACCAAGGCGACGAUGCAUAGCCGACCUGAGAGGGUGAUCGGCCACACUGGGACUGAGACACGGCCCAGACUCCUACGGGAGGCAGCAGUAGGGAAUCUUCCACAAUGGACGAAAGUCUGAUGGAGCAACGCCGCGUGAGUGAUGAAGGUUUUCGGAUCGUAAAACUCUGUUGUAAGGGAAGAACAGGUAUGAGAGGUAAUGCUCAUGCUAUGACGGUACCUUGCGAGAAAGCCACGGCUAACUACGUGCCAGCAGCCGCGGUAAUACGUAGGUGGCAAGCGUUGUCCGGAAUUAUUGGGCGUAAAGCGCGCGCAGGCGGCCUUUUAAGUCUGAUGUGAAAGCCCCCGGCUCAACCGGGGAGGGUCAUUGGAAACUGGAAGGCUUGAGUACAGAAGAGAAGAGUGGAAUUCCAUGUGUAGCGGUGAAAUGCGUAGAGAUGUGGAGGAACACCAGUGGCGAAGGCGACUCUUUGGUCUGUAACUGACGCUGAGCGCGAAA